UUGGUAUGAAUUAAAAUAGAUUGUUAUAACUCUAAGAUGUUACAUGUAGUACCCAUGGUAACCACAUAGAAAAUAUAUAUGGAAUAUACACAAUGAAAAUGAGAAAGAAAUAAAAAUGUGUCACUAGAAAAAAUGAACUGAACACAAAGGAUAGUAGUAAUUAAAGCAAUGAGAGGCAUAAAACUAUAAGACACAGAAAACAACAAAUUGACAAAAGUAAGUUUUUCCCUAUCAGUAAAUACUUUAAGUUCAAAGGGAUUAAACCCCCUAUGAUGGUUAAUUUUAUGUGUCAACUUGAUCAGGCUAAGACAUGCUCAGAUAGCUGGUGAAACAUAAUUUCUGGGUGUGUCUGUAUUAAUGUUUCUGGAAGAGAUUAGCAUUUGAAUCAGUAGACUGAGUAAAGAAUAUCUGACCUCACCAAUGUGUGUAGUGUUGGUUCAAUCUGUUGAAGGUCCAAAUAGAACAAAAGGGUAGAAGAAGGGUGAGUUCUCUCUGUCUAUCUUCUUGAGCAAGGAAGCCAUAUAUCUUCUCCUACCCUUGGACAUUGGAGUUCCUGGUUCUUGGGCCUCAGACUCCAGGACUUAUACAAUUGGUUCUCCUGGCUCUUAGGCUUUCAGACUUGAACUGAAUUAUACCACCAACUUUCCUGAUUUCCCAGUUUGCCAACAGCACAUCACAGGACUUCUCAGCCUCCACAACAUUGAAAUUAACUGUUCACUAAGAAGCAGAAUGAUCUUCACUGGAACAACGAAACAACGGAUGAUCUGCCUUUAAUAGGAUAAAAGCCAGUAUUUGCAAAUAUAAAAUACUAUUUUGAGAUCCUUGUGGAGUUCAUUUUUGUGUAUGGUCAGAGGUUAUUGUCAGUGUUCAUUUUUUGCCAUAUAGAUACCUGGUUGUUCUACCAUUUGAUGAAAGGUAUUAUCAUGUCCCCAUUGAAUUACCAUGACACUUUGUCAAAUAUCACUUGACCCUAUGUAUGAAGGUAUAUUUCUGGCCUCUGUUUUGUUCCAUUGAUCUUAUGUGUAUCACUGUGCCAAUAUAACCCUACCUUGAUUACUGAAUCUUUACAGUAUAUCUUGAUAUCGUCUAGGGUAAGUGAUCUAAAUGUAUACUUUUGUUUCUAAGUAUUUUUGACUUUGGUUCUUUGAGUUCUCCAUAUACAUUUGAUAAUCAGUUUGCCAAAUUUCUCAAAAAGCCCUGCUGGAUAUUGAAUGGAAUUAUAUUGAAUCUAAAUAUCAGUUUGGAGAUAACUGACAUCUUAAUAAUACAUCUUCCAAUCAAAUGCAUACAAUAUAUCUCAUUUAUUUAGAUAGGUUUGCUUUAAUUUAUUUUAGCAAUGUUUGCAGUUAUCUGUUCAGUAUUUUAUUUAAAUUAUUCCUAAAUAUUUCUUGAUUUUUGAUGCUAUGGGAAACAGUGUAUUUUAUUUUUUUCAUUAAUCAUUACUUUUGUAGAGAGAGACAAUGGAUUUUUAUAUGUGAAGCUUAUAUGCUGCGACCAUGACCACGCUAAACUCACUUUUUAGUUCUGAUAAAUUUUUUUGUACAUUUCAUAGGAUUUUUGGCAUACAUAAUUGUGAUUAUGUCACUUAUAAAUAAAGACAAUAUUACUUAUUUAUUUCUAGUCUGCCUGCCUUUUUUU
rnacentral:lncRNA from 1 species